GACGAACGCUGGCGGCGUGCUUAACACAUGCAAGUCGAACGGAAAGGCCCUGCUUUUGUGGGGUGCUCGAGUGGCGAACGGGUGAGUAACACGUGAGUAACCUGCCCUUGACUUUGGGAUAACUUCAGGAAACUGGGGCUAAUACCGGAUAGGAGCUCCUGCUGCAUGGUGGGGGUUGGAAGGUUUCGGCGGUUGGGGAUGGACUCGCGGCUUAUCAGCUUGUUGGUGGGGUAGUGGCUUACCAAGGCUUUGACGGGUAGCCGGCCUGAGAGGGUGACCGGCCACAUUGGGACUGAGAUACGGCCCAGACUCCUACGGGAGGCAGCAGUGGGGAAUAUUGCACAAUGGGCGGAAGCCUGAUGCAGCAACGCCGCGUGCGGGAUGACGGCCUUCGGGUUGUAAACCGCUUUCGCCUGUGACGAAGCGUGAGUGACGGUAAUGGGUAAAGAAGCACCGGCUAACUACGU
rnacentral:rRNA from 1 species